rnacentral:rRNA from 1 species
AUUGAACGCUGGCGGCAUGCCUUACACAUGCAAGUCGAACGGCAGCACGGGUGCUUGCACCUGGUGGCGAGUGGCGAACGGGUGAGUAAUACAUCGGAACAUGUCCUGUAGUGGGGGAUAGCCCGGCGAAAGCCGGAUUAAUACCGCAUACGAUCUACGGAUGAAAGCGGGGGACCUUCGGGCCUCGCGCUAUAGGGUUGGCCGAUGGCUGAUUAGCUAGUUGGUGGGGUAAAGGCCUACCAAGGCGACGAUCAGUAGCUGGUCUGAGAGGACGACCAGCCACACUGGGACUGAGACACGGCCCAGACUCCUACGGGAGGCAGCAGUGGUGAAUUUUGGACAAUGGGCGAAAGCCUGAUCCAGCAAUGCCGCGUGUGUGAAGAAGGCCUUCGGGUUGUAAAGCACUUUUGUCCGGAAAGAAAUCCUUGGCCCUAAUACGGUCGGGGGAUGACGGUACCGGAAGAAUAAGCACCGGCUAACUACAUG